rnacentral:rRNA from 1 species
GCCUAUGGCCAUACAACGCUGAAUGUGCCUAUCUCAGAAGCUAGGCAGGGACAGGCCUGGUUAGUUGGAUGGGAGAACAUUAGAGGCUGGGGGCCAGCA